ensembl:lncRNA
CUAGAUCUCAGUGAGCCACAUGUGACCUGGUGAACUUUGCAAUCAUUUCCUAUGCAGAUUUUCAGAUUAGAGAUUUGGUUAGUCGAUCUGGUAGGGUAUUUUGUCAGAGCAACCACUAUGCUUGUAUUCUGGAAUUAGUUGCGCCCUUCUAUUCUAGAAUCAGUCAUUCCCAGAAGUCCUCCCACCUGGAGAGCCAAGUGAAAACAAGCCCAGACAAGACUUAUUGGACUCGUGCUUUCAGAGGGGGAGAAACUGGCGGUCCAGCAGACUGAUGAAGAGGUACAGCAUGCAAAAUGCACUGCAGCCACAAAGGAACUUGGAGGCCAGCAGCUCAUGCUCCCAGGAACGGGCUGGGGAUGAUUUCAGAAAAUCAAGGGAAUCAUAAGAAUUUCACCCCUGGAGGGAAGGAAGAUCAUGGCUGAACCUGCAUUUCAGAUAAGGAGGGCAGUUUGUGGUCUCCAAGAGAGUUUGGCUGUGUCCUCUGCCACUCUGCUGUGGCUUCUGAAGGACUGCUGAGUUGCUGAGGGAGCCUUCUCAGAGUCAUGACUACUGAGGCAUUAUGCCAUUCUUAUGACACAGCUGCGAUAAUUCUUUUUGAAUUCAUGGUAUACAUUUUGACAGUCUUCCUGACCAGAUAGAACAUUUCAACAGAACGAUAUUUCUUUUAAUGAUUGAAUAGUCCUGUGAAAUCAGAGCCCACAACUCUUGAGCUCCCAACCUCAUGACAGUGUUCAACAUUCUACAGAGGAAAAGAAUAAAUUCUAAACCUGUGUGACAUCA